rnacentral:rRNA from 1 species
GGCCUAACACAUGCAAGUCGAGCGGUAGCGGGCCUGACCACUCUCGAGUGGUUCAGGUGCCGACGAGCGGCGGACGGGUGCGUAACACGUAGGAAUCUGCCCGGUAGUGGGGGAUAGCCCGGAGAAAUUCGGAUUAAUACCGCAUACGCCCUAAGGGGGAAAGCAGGGGAUCGGUUCGCCGACCUUGCGCUAUCGGAUGAGCCUGCGUCGGAUUAGCUGGUUGGUGGGGUAAAGGCCUACCAAGGCGACGAUCCGUAGCUGGUCUGAGAGGAUGAUCAGCCACACUGGGACUGAGACACGGCCCAGACUCCUACGGGAGGCAGCAGUGGGGAAUAUUGCACAAUGGGCGAAAGCCUGAUGCAGCCAUGCCGCGUGUGUGAAGAAGGCCCUAGGGUUGUAAAGCACUUUCAGUGGGGAGGAAAGGUCGAAGGUUAAUACCCUUUGGCUGUGACGUUACCCACAGAAGAAGCACCGGCUAACUCCGUGCCAGCAGCCGCGGUAAUACGGAGGGUGCGAGCGUUAAUCGGAAUUACUGGGCGUAAAGCGUGCGUAGGCGGCCAUUUAAGUUGGAUGUGAAAGCCCCGGGCUCAACCUGGGAACUGCAUCCAAAACUGGGUGGCUUGAGUGCGAGAGAGGAGUGUGGAAUUUCCUGUGUAGCGGUGAAAUGCGUAGAUAUAGGAAGGAACACCAGUGGCGAAGGCGACACUCUGGCUUGACACUGACGCUGAGGUACGAAAGCGUGGGGAGCAAACAGGAUUAGAUACCCUGGUAGUCCACGCCGUAAACGAUGUCUACUAGUUGUCGGUGGUCUUGUACUGCUGGUAACGCAGCUAACGCGAUAAGUAGACCGCCUGGGGAGUACGG